GGCGACAGGCGGACCCGGUAACGGGUAGCGAACCCUCUCUAAUCUCCCGUCCCUAUCCCUUCACAUUCGUCCGCUACCCUGGGGAACGAACGGGCAGCCGCCGCUGAGCGGUGGCGGCGCAAGCGACGUUCCAAAGCUCGGUUCCUGUUCCUCCAUCCGCAUCCACCCUCCUGCACAUCUGUCGGCGACGCGUGGACAACCGGCGGCGUUGGAGAAAACAUUCGUCCCUAUCUCGAUCCCCUUUCCUCCAUCUGCAUCCGAGGGAUGAGCAGCCGGCGGCGGCGGCCGCGCAUACGAGCUGUUUCUUGGCGAACUCGACGAGCUUGAGAUUUUUUUUCGGCUGAUCCUAGCGCAUGGCCAGAUGGAAUGGCAUCAGAUAUGUUCCUGCUUGUGCCCCUCUCAUUUAUGCGAGCCUGCGCACCAUGGAGUUGUUUGGGGGGUGUGAAUUCGAAACAGGAGCGCGCUGCCGGGUGCCGGCGUCCUCAGAUGGCGAUGGGCAUGUCCGCUUCACCUGUAGGCCAUGCGCAGCCGCAGAUGGCACAUACACCUUCACAAAGUUGUCAGGUACAUCAGCUCCUCUGGAUUGAUACUCUGAAUUUGGAUGGCAUAGUCACUGAACAUGUUCCUGUUCGCCGAUCCAAUAUUUUUAGAUCGUAUACCCAAUAUAGUGAUAUCAUUGGCUGGGGAAGGUAUGUGUUCUUGCUAUAAACAUUCAUUUUGUUUUUCAGAUAAUAGUAUCUCUUCAUACCAAAAUCAGAUGAUACAAGAGUAUCAUUUAAUACUUUUUUUCCUGAUUAUAGUUCUGCUGUCCACUGGAUGUGUUUUUCUAGAUUAGUAUCACUCCAUACUUUCUAACAUACUAGAGUGCAACUGGAAACGCUUUUCAGAUUACAAUAUCACUUGAUACUUAUUUCCCCAUCCAUUAGUGUAUGUCUUCAUACUUUUUUCAGGUUAUGGUAUCACCGGAUACAUCUCCCAGAUUGUUGUAUCAUGAUUCAUGAGAUACUUUUUUUUUCUGAACUGAUCAUCACAGUCAAUGAAAUGGAUAACCAAGCAUGGGAAGUAUCAGGCUUACUCCACAGAUAUUGGAAGCACUGCCCAUUUAGAAUAUAUUUGAUCUGGAACUAUAUACGAUCUUAUUUUGGACUGCAGAUUCUUCUUUCAGUCAAUAUACCAGCAUUUUUUUAACAUCUUUAGAAAUGAUGUAGUAUGACAUUUCCUUUGUAAUAUAUAUUUUGUUCAUGAUGAUAUUAAUAUAUCCAUUGGAAGUGUUUUUAGUACU